rnacentral:rRNA from 1 species
UACGUAGGGUGCAAGCGUUGUCCGGAAUUAUUGGGCGUAAAGAGCUCGUAGGCGGUUUGUCGCGUCUGCUGUGAAAACUCAGGGCUUAACUCUGAGCUUGCAGUGGGUACGGGCAGACUAGAGUGCGGUAGGGGAGACUGGAAUUCCUGGUGUAGCGGUGAAAUGCGCAGAUAUCAGGAGGAACACCGGUGGCGAAGGCGGGACUCUGGGCCGAUACUGACGCUGAGGAGCGAAAGCGUGGGGAGCGAACAGG